GAUGAACGCUGGCGGCGUGCCUAAUACAUGCAAGUCGAGCGAACAGACGAGGAGCUUGCUCCUCUGACGUUAGCGGCGGACGGGUGAGUAACACGUGGAUAACCUACCUAUAAGACUGGGAUAACUUCGGGAAACCGGAGCUAAUACCGGAUAAUAUAUUGAACCGCAUGGUUCAAUAGUGAAAGACGGUUUUGCUGUCACUUAUAGAUGGAUCCGCGCCGCAUUAGCUAGUUGGUAAGGUAACGGCUUACCAAGGCGACGAUGCGUAGCCGACCUGAGAGGGUGAUCGGCCACACUGAAACUGAGACACGGUCCAGACUCCUACGGGAGGCAGCAGUAGGGAAUCUUCCGCAAGGGGCGAAAGCCUGACGGAGCAACGCCGCGUGAGUGAUGAAGGUCUUCGGAUCGUAAACUCUGUUAUUAGGGAAGAACAAAUGUGUAAGUAACUAUGCACGUCUUGACGGUACCUAAUCAGAAAGCCACGGCUAACUACGUG
rnacentral:rRNA from 1 species